rnacentral:lncRNA from 1 species
GGCCCAAUCUAUGACUCUGGUGGCAGAGGCACUUGGGAGAUGUCGUCUUCUCAUCACCCUGUGUUCUCACUCACCCACGGAUUACAAGCUAUUCAGCUCAGAAAGAUAAAGCCACUAAGUCCUUCUGCCUUGAGUGGUGACAUGCUGUAUCAACGGGCUUACCAAACACAGCAUGACACUCUCCUAAGGAGAGGACAGCGAGAGAAGAAAGGAAGACCGCCUGAGCCUACGGGCUGACUCGCGGCUUGACGACCACAACGACUCCUGGGACGUUGAAGCAAACUUGAGCCAACGGGCAAGCGACCGGAAACAAUCAGAAUCGACAUUCUCUGCGUUUCAGAUGUUGAAUUCGCUCUCUCCCCUUAUUAAAACUGUUUCAGGGGAGCAGUCAGUUAGGACCUUCCGCGGGGACGCCUCUGAUGUGCACCGCUCACUCAGAUUCGGUUUCUGCCUUCCAAACCCGUAAAAUGUCUGACCGUGUCUGUCUGUGCAUGUGGCAUGAUCGUCCUAGAGAAAUGAGUAAACAUGUUGUAUGUGUGUGUAUGCACGUAUGACUACCGCGAGGAGACAUUGCGCCGGGAAACACACGGUUCGUCUGAGAUCGCUCCCCGAGUCGGUAUUUUUGGGGGGUUUGGCGUGUGUGGGGCUGGAAGAAGACAGCGAAGAGGAGAAGGUGAGAUCGAUGCCUGAGUAAAAUCCCAGUAUGAAUGAAAACUCGAGCAGAGCCCAUAGUAAAACACGGAAGAGAGAUAUCACAGCAGAAUGACAGGAGGUAGAAAGAGGGCAGUCCGGUGAAACAGAUACAGUAUCUCUGCUUGAUCACUUAAUAGGUAAACGUGCGUCCGAAUGUCUUCCAAUUAAAAAACAUCUUGGUGGCUGUAUGAUAUUGCAAUUAUACUGUAUGACGUCUAAACAACAUAUGAUUUUUUUAAUUCAUAUUUUUGGUAAUCUGUCAACGUGUAUAACGAAUAAAAUAAAAGCUGAUCUAGGGGCUCGCUUUU